rnacentral:rRNA from 1 species
AACGAACGCUGGCGGCAUGCCUAACACAUGCAAGUCGAACGAUUGCCUUCGGGUGAUAGUGGCGCACGGGUGCGUAACGCGUGGGAAUCUGCCCUUAGGUUCGGAAUAACAGCUGGAAACGGCUGCUAAUACCGGAUGAUAUCGCGAGAUCAAAGAUUUAUCGCCUGAGGAUGAGCCCGCGUUGGAUUAGGUAGUUGGUGGGGUAAAGGCCUACCAAGCCGACGAUCCAUAGCUGGUCUGAGAGGAUGAUCAGCCACACUGGGACUGAGACACGGCCCAGACUCCUACGGGAGGCAGCAGUGGGGAAUAUUGGACAAUGGGCGCAAGCCUGAUCCAGCAAUGCCGCGUGAGUGAUGAAGGCCCUGGGGUUGUAAAGCUCUUUUACCCGGGAAGAUAAUGACUGUACCGGGAGAAUAAGCCCCGGCUAACUCCGUG